rnacentral:lncRNA from 1 species
CAGAUCGUUUACCUCCUGCUGCAGUUCUGCUGUUUGCUCCGUGUCCCUCCUCAGCAUCAGACGGCUGCAAGAAGUCAUCAACAGGAAUACUUCUCCUGCUGUCACCCAGCUGACUCUGCAGAGGAGAACAGAGAACAAACAUUUAAUCUCAGGGAACCUUCCUGAAAAUGUAAUCAACAGAACCAAGAAGGAACAGUAAGGAACAUCCACCUUCCUUCACUGAUCCACCUCCUGAAUCUACAACAGAGACACCAACACCAGACGUCACCAUGGCAACAGGGUGAGUAACACAACCAACCAAUUCAAACAGAAUUUCAA